UACAGAGGUCCCAAGCGUUGUUCGGAUUCAUUGGGCGUAAAGGGUGCGUAGGUGGCGCCGUAAGUCGGGUGUGAAAUUUCGGAGCUUAACUCCGAAACUGCAUUCGAUACUGCGGUGCUUGAGGACUGGAGAGGAGACUGGAAUUUACGGUGUAGCGGUGAAAUGCGUAGAUAUCGUAAGGAAGACCAGUGGCGAAGGCAGCUCGCUGGAACGGUACUGACGCUGAGGCGCGAAAGCGUGGGGAGCGAACAGG
rnacentral:rRNA from 1 species